AUUGAACGCUAGCGGGAUGCCUUACACAUGCCAGUCGAACGGAGUGGCGAACGGGUGAGUAAUGUAACGGAACGGUCCCAGUCGCGGGGGAUAACUACGCGAGCGCGUAGCUGAUAACGAAUAAUAUUGGGGCGGCCGAUACCGGAUUAGCUGGUUGGUGGGGUAACGGCUCACCAAGGGGACGAUCCGUAGCUGGUUUGAGAGGAUGACCAGCCACACUGGGACGGAGACACGGCCCAGCCUCCUACGGGAGGCAGCAGUGGGGAAUUUUGGACAAUGGGGGAAACCCUUAUCCAGCCAUCCCGCGUGUGCGAUGCAGGCCUUCGGGUUGUACAGCACUUUUGGCAGGAAAGCGGUACCUGCAGAAUAAGCACCGGCUAACUACGUGCCAGCAGCCGCGGUAAUAC
rnacentral:rRNA from 1 species